UACGUAGGGACCGAGCGUUGUCCGGAAUCAUUGGGCGUAAAGAGCGUGUAGGCGGCCUUUUAAGUCCUGCGUGAAAUCCUGCGGCUCAACCGCAGACGGUCGUGGGAAACUGGAAGGCUAGAGUGCGGGAGAGGAGAGUGGAAUUCCCGGUGUAGCGGUGAAAUGCGCAGAUAUCGGGAAGAACACCCGUGGCGAAGGCGGCUCUCUGGAACGCAACUGACGCUGAGGCGCGAAAGCGUGGGGAGCGAACAGG
rnacentral:rRNA from 1 species